GUAACAAGGUUUCCGUAGGUGAACCUGCGGAAGGAUCAUUACCAAUUUUAUCGGGGGGACUUCGGUCCCUGUCUGAACCCUUGUCUUUUGCGUACUAUUUGUUUCCUUGGUGGGCUUUGCCUGCCAAUAGGACACUAUCAAACCUUUUGUAAUUGCAAUCAGCGUCAGAAAAACAUAAUAAUUACAACUUUCAACAACGGAUCUCUUGGUUCUGGCAUCGAUGAAGAACGCAGCGAAAUGCGAAAAGUAGUGUGAAUUGCAGAAUUCAGUGAAUCAUCGAAUCUUUGAACGCACAUUGCGCCCCUUGGUAUUCCAUGGGGCAUGCCUGUUCGAGCGUCAUUUGUACCUUCAAGCUCUGCUUGGUGUUGGGUGUUUGUCCCGCUUUUUGCGUGGACUCGCCUCAAAGCAAUUGGCAGCCGGCGUACUAGCCUGGGAGCGCAGCACAUUUUGCGAAUCUCGACUGGAACGCUUGCGUCCAUUAAGCCUACACUUUUGCUCUUGACCUCGGAUCAGGUAGGGAUACCCGCUGAACUUAAGCAUAUCAAUAA
rnacentral:misc_RNA from 1 species